rnacentral:rRNA from 1 species
CCUACGGGGCGCAGCAGUGAGGAAUAUUGGUCAAUGGACGAGAGUCUGAACCAGCCAAGUAGCGUGAAGGAUGACUGCCCUAUGGGUUGUAAACUUCUUUUAUAUGGGAAUAAAAUGUUCCACGUGUGGGUUUUUGUAUGUACCAUAUGAAUAAGGAUCGGCUAACUCCGUGCCAGCAGCCGCGGUAAUACGGAGGAUCCGAGCGUUAUCCGGAUUUAUUGGGUUUAAAGGGAGCGUAGGUGGAUUGUUAAGUCAGUUGUGAAAGUUUGCGGCUCAACCGUAAAAUUGCAGUUGAAACUGGCAGUCUUGAGUACAGUAGAGGUAGGCGGAAUGCGUGGUGUAGCGGUGAAAUGCUUAGAUAUCACGAAGAACUCCGAUUGCGAAGGCAGCUCACUAGACUGCAACUGACACUGAGGCUCGAAAGUGUGGGUAUCAAACAGGAUUAGAUACCCCAGUAGUC